CGAGAAAACCGUCAUUUCAGUCUGGUUUCGUCGCAAUGCGAAUCAUUUUACUGAAAAUAAAUGGCAAUUAGAGUUUUCUUUAUCGGUUUUGUAAUUGAGUUUAUAGUUCGUAAGCCAAUAUUCAAAUUGGUUGGAUUGGUCAUCAUUCGUUGGAACGGCUCGACAAGCAACUAACGUUCCACCGAUAACCGGUAGCAAAUCCACUCCGUUAUCAAACAACAGCAACAGGCAUCCAAACAGCAAAACCAGCCGGAAGUUCCGAUUAGCCUAGCAUUGGGCCAACGAAUAUCCAAAAAUGUCUUCAACUAUCCCAAAAAAAAAGUCGGAAGAACUGGAAAUGCAGAUGGACCAAACAAUACAUCUAAUCCGAAUCGAAUUCCGCCGCACCCUCAUGCAUUAUCUCCCGGGUAAUUUUGUCCGAAUCGGAUGAAGAAAAAUUUGAGACAUCGGAAUCCGAGCAGUACAGAUGUUGUCAGACUGGGAUUAUUUUUUGUUUAGGAAGAUACAAAUGAUUUUUAAGUUUAAUGUCUUCCUGCUUCUCGGAGGUCAGUUAUCAAAAACUCAAGGGGUUUCCGGUUUUUCUAAAAGUGGAAGUAGUAGUAUCGCAAAUUGCUGACAGUGUUGAAUAGAAGGAAGUUUUUGACGCUUUGUCCAUCUGCUGAAAGGAAAAGUGCUUCUGAACUUGUGACCUCUAAGAUGCAAGAAACACUCAAAUUACAUGAGGAGUUGGAGAAAGUAAAUCACUGCGCUUGUGGCCAAUUUGCACGAUAGGCAAAAUGUUAUCAUGCUAAUCUUCAUCCUGUGAAAGCAUUCUAGAACCCGAUCCUCGGAAGGUUUGAUGGAAAUAUUAGUCAAUGACGCUUAGAUUGUUCCCAUAUAAGCCAAAAUGCGCUAACUGAUAAAAAAUUCAACUCCGAGAGCGACUGUUGUUUUCGGUAAAGUUUUGCAAACGGUUUUGCUUCGAUUCCAAUGAUCAGCGAAAAAGUUAAACAUCAUCCGACAUUUGAACAUUCCGUAAAGACAUCCAGUUAAGGAGGAGAACUAAAAAAAGUAGCUAACAGUUUAAAAUAAGACCAGUAAAGCGACAAACCGGGAUCAGCAGAGAAAGGAAUGCUCCAAUACGAUGAUGCCGCAGAGUGAGAAACAAAUUAGCCAGAAGGUUGUCACCACAUAGUGCUUGCCCUAGCUGUUCCUAGCCUAAAAGUGUGAUGUCGCGGGCGGAGAAAUCUGACUGGAGCAUACCAACAAUGUGACCAGGCAGUUGGGUUUUGGAGCAAGCAGGGUUCGUUCUGGUGUUGUCAGACCGGAAGCUUCCAGCAUAGAUGUGUCGAAUGUUGCUCAAAUUCGAAGUGUAACCGAUAGCAACAUUUGGAACACAGCGGAAGAUUUGAUCAAUCAGGUCCGCCAAAUUUUCCGACACAAAUUGGGAGAAACAAAUAUAUCGAGCUCUGUAAAGCAACAGCGGAGAUCAGCUAAAAAGCCAACAGUCACCACAAUUACAACAGGCUCCAGUGGUUUCGGUUUCAGAUCUGGCGGGUUCACAUUUGGCUCAACCCCAGCCAAACCAGUAGCUAUGCCGUCCCGUCAGUUAAAUCAAAUCCAUUUCCAAGCUUGGAAUCGUUUUAAUUUGGACAUAAGCGAUUCCCAGAAGUCCUACGGGGAAAUGUUACCAUCAGCAGCCUUAGCACCGGAUCGUUAGCCAUAUUUGGUUCAGGAACGGCAACUGAUGGAAAAAUUUGCAGAAUCAAUCCAAAUAUUUAAGGAUCCAUCGCAGCGCCAGACAUUCUUCAAGCUCGUUCCAGACCAGUUGUUGUAAAAAACUCCAUGCAUUGGAUUUUGAUCGGAGCUGACGAAAAUUAUUUACCACCUCAUAAAAACAAGAAAUUCCAAAACAAUAAUGGACUGGCUCGACCAAUUGGGAAGCAAUUGCCUUCGACGGAAGUGAAUUCAUGUUCCCAUAAGCUUACUGAGACGAGCGAUCGCAAACUACCAGCCAGUAGGUAACAAGGCACAGUUAGCAAGUUAGUCGGUUAUCCACUCAGGCCAUUCCCCCAAAUAUUAUUGCGGGCUCUGCUGGAGUUGGUAAAAACGAUCCUUUGCAUGGUUCGCAUUCUGCUGGCUGAAAAUUUUCGGGAAGUCGCAAUCGUGCUGAAUGCUUCUAGCGUACGUAGAAUUGAUGUGGUCCAGGACAAGAUUGAAAUGUUCGCUCAACAGAAGGUUACUCCCAUAGGGUCGGCACAAGUUUGUCAUUUUGAACGAAGCCGAUAGCAUGGCCGAGGAUGCUCAGCAAGCGGGAUGGCGAUUUGAUUGCGGAUCAUUUCUUGAGCUGCGGAUUAAUAAGAACUAAAAGUUGCUGCCAAGAUGUUCAUUGGCGUUUUCAACAUUAUAGGUAACACCGUCAACACAGAAUCCCAAAGCAGUCUUAUACCGUAUUUGUUUACGCCGAGUGUUGCUCUAGUGUUGCACUGGUGCACCACUAGGUGCUGUCAAACUGUUUGUUUAUUCGGACGGUGUUGCACUGGUUUUGACCUGGUGUUACACUGACAUCGGGCGAUAGUGCCCCGAAAAUUUUAUAUAAUAUGAUAAUGAAAUAUCUGCAAAGGAUUGUAAUUUUCGAGAACGAAAAAAAUGGGUCACGCAAGACUCUUUCUACCAGCUACGAUUAAGGUUCUGCAACCGCAGACUCAUUGAAUAUUAGAAAUUACGAUGAUGGUUUUGAUCAUGGGUCAGGUAUCACAGUCUGAUUUUCUAGAACAGAGAUUCAAGCUUAACGGUUUGCCUGAGCAGUAUAGUUUCAAAGAAUUUGACAGUGUACGCAGAAGCUGCUUGAUAUGAGUGAAGCACCAACAAAAAACCAAAAGUCAACCCAAUUGAGAGCUGGAGAGAAGAAUCUCAGCAUCAUGGCUUAUUUAAAAAUAUUUUACGAUCUGAAGCGGCCGAAAACAUAUAAAGUUUUAAAAUCGUUGAAUAUCUGGAUUCUCAGGUGGCCUCUUGUUCAUAAGAAAUUCAGAAUUGAAUUGGAUCGAAAGGGAGGGAGCUUAAUCAGUUUGUGAAGUCGGUUACCAAUUGCUACAUCAAAUAAUAAACCGCUGAUGAUCGAUCUUAUGACAACCUUUUCGGAUCAGCACGGCCUGAGUACCUUAACUUUCUUACUCCUAAGUUUUUCCCAGCCGAGCUACCGUUGCUGACAACGUCGAUUUUAAUAUUCCAGAAUUUCGUGCCAUCACCACCGUUCGGCUUAAAAUUGUUUAAAACACAACACCAGCUCCAUAACAGCUCAACGGUGCAAAGAAAAGAUGUAUGAGGCCAAAUUUUGCUCCCUACUUUUGUCGGUGGAUGAAUCCCUCGAGCAAACGUGCGAUCUCCGGAUGGGAGUUUGUUUUUUUGGCAUCAGCAACGCGAUUCCCAUCCGCAGAAUGAUUCCAGUAUUAUGACUUCUUAUAGCCAUAUUGCUUUUAACAAAAAGCGUCAAAGUUUGGAAUUCUAUUGGAUGAGCGGCUCGAGGAAAAUGCAUUUCGAAAAAUGCAAUGAUAAUUGUUUGUUGUAGUAAUUACUUUUUAUUUGAUUUGGAUUAUUUUGAUAAAAUUGUACAAAAAAAAAACAUUGAAAAAUAAAAAUUUAGAUUUUUAAAAACUGAAUGA